GACGAACGCUGGCGGCGUGCCUAAUACAUGCAAGUCGAGCGAUGAUUAAAGAUAGCUUGCUAUUUUUAUGAAGGGCGGCGAACGGGUGAGUAACGCGUGGGAAAUCUGCCGAGUAGCGGGGGACAACGUUUGGCAACGAACGCUAAUACCGCAUAACAAUGAGAAUCGCAUGAUUCUUAUUUAAAAGAAGCAAUUGCUUCACUACUUGAUGAUCCCGCGUUGUAUUAGCUAGUUGGUAGUGUAAAGGACUACCAAGGCGAUGAUACAUAGCCGACCUGAGAGGGUGAUCGGCCACACUGGGACUGAGACACGGCCCAGACUCCUACGGGAGGCAGCAGUAGGGAAUCUUCGGCAAUGGGGGCAACCCUGACCGAGCAACGCCGCGUGAGUGAAGAAGGUUUUCGGAUCGUAAAACUCUGUUGUUAGAGAAGAACGUUAAGUAGAGUGCAAAAUUACUUAAGUGACGGUAUCUAACCAGAAAGGGACGGCUAACUACGUGCCAGCAGCCGCGGUAA
rnacentral:rRNA from 1 species